UUUAAAUUUUAUAUUACUUGCGAUUUGUUUAAUAAAACAUGAAAAAAUUGAAUACAUAUUUAUUCGCGCCUCGAAUAAAAUACUUGAGGUGUUGUGCGCAUGCGCGGCGGGAAUUGUUCAAUUGUUUGUCAGUAAAAGUGACGCCAUAUUUGUUCCUUGGAUACGAAUUUGACACGGGAUUCGCAUCGUCCUCGUUAAUUGCAGCUUUUGAAGAAUUUUACGAGUGAAAAGACACAGUAGAGAAUACAACGAAAACGAUUCUUUGAAAACAAUCGAUCUUCAUUGGACAAGUAAGGAUACAAAGCUAGGCUUAAUAGGAAGAGAAAGAGGGAUAGAUAACAUUCGAGACGUAAAUAUAAUAACAUUGGCUUGUAUAUUUCUGAGAAUUUCUUUAGAGAAAGAAAAGAAGAUAAAUAUACAUUGAUACUUUUUCAAGAAAUAGUGUUUGUUCGUUAAAUUAGAUUUGUUCGUAUUCUCGCGAUUUAAAUUAAUUUCAAGAAGCGCGAGUACUUAAAUCGAUUGCGUGCAAUGCAGUCAAUUAUAGAGUCAGUGUUUGUUCGUCUAAAGUUGUUUUUUUUUUUUCACAGUCAUACACAGAUGUGUAUUUAUCGUAUAUAUAACAGUAGAAUUUCGCGGAUUAAAUUUAGUGCCGUUUCCUAAUUAAUAAAUAAUUAACGCGUAUUAGAGUCAGUGCAUCAUGGAAGAAAUGAAUAUACUUAUUCAAUAGGAGAAUAUUGGUCAUCGUUAUAUUUUCAUCAAGUCACAAUUCAACCUACGUUAAUGUCUACCUAUCAUAAUUUCGACCUACAAUAAGAACGAGUGUUUUGGAGCCAUCAGAGAACUUCUUAAGUAGUAAGUGAAGAAAUUAAAGUCCCUUCAGUACUCAUCAUGCCGAGGAUGAAAAAGAUUCGAAUCGGCACGAGUUUACUGAUUGUAAUUUUUUUAAAAUAAUUUAUUGCAGCGAGCAUGACCGUGAGUAAUUUCUCUUUUGAAUUUACUCGUAAAUUUUUAAUUGUGUAUAUGUUUUUUAUUGUUUAUUUAUUGUGCAUGCUUAUUAUCAUUAAUUCAGGAUAAGGAUCU